rnacentral:rRNA from 1 species
GAUUCCUACGGGGGGCAGCAGUAGGGAAUCUUCCACAAUGGGCGAAAGCCUGAUGGAGCAACGCCGCGUGGGUGAAGAAGGUCUUCGGAUCGUAAAACCCUGUUGUUAGAGAAGAAAGUGCGUGAGAGUAACUGUUCACGUUUCGACGGUAUCUAACCAGAAAGCCACGGCUAACUACGUGCCAGCAGCUGCGGUAAUACGUAGGUGGCAAGCGUUAUCCGGAUUUAUUGGGCGUAAAGGGAACGCAGGCGGUCUUUUAAGUCAGCGGUCAAAGCCCGGGGCUCACCCCCGG